rnacentral:rRNA from 1 species
AUUGAACGCUGGCGGCGUGCCUAACACAUGCAAGUCGAGCGGUAACAGGUGUAGCAAUACAUGCUGACGAGCGGCGAACGGGUGAGUAAUGCUUCGGAAUCUACCCAAUGGUGGGGAAUAACCAGCCGAAAGGUUGGCUAAUACCGCAUACGUCCCACGGGAGAAAGCAGGGGAUCGCAAGACCUUGCGCCAAUGGAUGAGCCGAAGUCGGAUUAGCUAGUGGUAGGGUAACGGCCUACCAAGGCGACGAUCCGUAGCUGGUCUGAGAGGACGACCAGCCACACUGGGACUGAGACACGGCCCAGACUCCUACGGGAGGCAGCAGUGGGGAAUAUUGGACAAUGGGGGAAACCCUGAUCCAGCGACGCCGCGUGUGUGAAGAAGGCCUGCGGGUUGUAAAG